AUUGAACGCUGGCGGCAGGCCUAACACAUGCAAGUCGAGCGAGCGGCGGACGGGUGAGUAAUGUCUGGGAAACUGCCUGAUGGAGGGGGAUAACUACUGGAAACGGUAGCUACUACCGCAUACCAUCAGAUGUGCCCAGAUGGGAUUAGCUAGUAGGUGGGGUAAUGGCUCACCUAGGAGACGAUCCCUAGCUGGUCUGAGAGGAUGACCAGCCCAACUGGAACUGAGACACGGUCCAGACUCCUACAUGACCCACCGUUGUAUAAUAUUGCACAAUGGGCGCAAGCCUGAUCCAGCCAUGCCGCGUGUGUGAAGAAGUCCUUCGGGUUUUAAAGCACUUUCAGCGGGGAGGCGUUACCCGCAGAAGAAGCACCGGCUAACUCCGUGCCAGCAGCCGCGGUAAUAC
rnacentral:rRNA from 1 species